CCUACGGUGUGCAGCAGUGAGGAAUAUUGGUCAAUGGGCGGAAGCCUGAACCAGCCAAGAAGCGUGCGGGAUGAAGGCCCUACGGGUCGUAAACCGCUUUUGCACGGGGAUAACACCCUCCACUUGUGGAGGUCUGCAGGUACCGUGCGAAUAAGGGCCGGCUAAUUCCGUGCCAGCAGCCGCGGUAAUAGGGAAGGCCCGAGCGUUAUCCGGAUUCAUAGGGCUUAAAGGGAGCGUAGGCGGGCGUUCAAGUCAGCUGUAAGAUCGCGCGGCUCAACCGCGCCCCGCAGUUGAAACUGGACGCGUUGAGUUCACAACAGGCAGGCGGAAUUCGUGGUGUAGCGGUGAAAUGCAUAGAUAUCACGAGGAACCCCGAUUGCGAAGGCAGCCUGCCGGGGUGCGACUGACGCUGAGGCACGAAAGCGUGGGGAGCAAACAGGAUUAGAUACCCGAGUAGUC
rnacentral:rRNA from 1 species